UACAGAGGGUGCGAGCGUUGUCCGGAAUCACUGGGCGUAAAGGGCGCGUAGGUGGCACGACAAGUCAGUGGUGAAAGCUCGACGCUCAACGUCGAGUCGGCCACUGAUACUGUCGAGCUGGAGCACUGUAGAGGCUAAUGGAAUUCCGGGUGUAGCGGUGGAAUGCGUAGAUAUCUGGAGGAACACCGGUGGCGAAGGCGACAUCCUGGACCGGUAUUGACGCUGAGGCGCGAAAGCCAGGGGAGCAAACGGG
rnacentral:rRNA from 1 species